rnacentral:rRNA from 1 species
UACGUAGGGGGCGAGCGUUGUCCGGAUUUAUUGGGCGUAAAGAGCGUGUAGGCGGUUCGGUAAGUCUGCCGUGAAAACCUGGGGCUCAACCUCGGGCGUGCGGUGGAUACUGCCGGGCUAGAGGACGGUAGAGGCGAGUGGAAUUCCCGGUGUAGCGGUGAAAUGCGCAGAUAUCAGGAGGAACACCGAUUGCGAAGGCAGCUCGCUGGGACGUAACUGACGCUGAGACGCGAAAGCGUGGGGAGCAAACAGG